rnacentral:lncRNA from 1 species
ACAUAAUAAGAUUUUCAUAAAAAUACAGAAUAUUAAACAAUAUGCUUUAUUUAUACCAAUUAAAAAACAUACAUCAAAAUAUCUUCCAUGUUUAUUACACGUCACAAUAAAAUACAUCUACCCUGUCUUCGUACUCUACACAUGAAACAAUUUAUAAAAAGUAAACCAUUACAGGCCAAUGUUCAAGAUGGAGCCUUGGUUAACACCAAACGACAAGCUAUAAAGGACCCCCAAAAAAAUCUAGGGUAAAACCAUUCAAACGGGAUAACCAACGGUCUAAUCUAUAAAAAAUACUUGAAGAAAAGUAACCCAUAAUAUUCGCUUGAAAAGCAUACAUUUU